rnacentral:rRNA from 1 species
UACGUAGGGUGCAAGCGUUGUCCGGAAUUAUUGGGCGUAAAGAGCUCGUAGGCGGUUUGUCGCGUCUGCUGAUGAAAACUGGAGGCUCGAACCUCCAGCCUGCAGUGGGUACGGGCAAACUAGAGUGCGGUAGGGGAGAUUGGAAUUCCUGGUGGUAGCGGUGGAAUGCGCAGAUAUCAGGAGGAACACCGAUGGCGAAGGCAGAUCUCUGGGCCGUAACUGACGCUGAGGAGCGGAAAGCGUGGGGAGCGAACAGG